rnacentral:rRNA from 1 species
AGUGAACGCUGGCGGUAGGCCUAACACAUGCAAGUCGAACGGCAGCACAGUAAGAGCUUGCUCUUACGGGUGGCGAGUGGCGGACGGGUGAGGAAUACAUCGGAAUCUACUUUUUCGUGGGGGAUAACGUAGGGAAACUUACGCUAAUACCGCAUACGACCUACGGGUGAAAGCAGGGGAUCUUCGGACCUUGCGCGAUUGAAUGAGCCGCUGUCGGAUUAGCUAGUUGGCGGGGUAAAGGCCCACCAAGGCGACGAUCCGUAGCUGGUGUGAGAGGAUGAUCAGCCACACUGGAACUGAGACACGGUCCAGACUCCUACGGGAGGCAGCAGUGGGGAAUAUUGGACAAUGGGCGCAAGCCUGAUCCAGCCAGACCGCGUGGGUGAAGAAGGCCUUCGGGUUGUAAAGCCCUUUUGUUGGGAAAGAAAAGCAGCAGGUUAAUACCCCGCUGUUCUGACGGUACCCAAAGAAUAAGCACCGGCUAACUUCGUG